rnacentral:tRNA from 1 species
GCGGCAGUAGCUCAGUAGUAGAGCAGCGGGCUUCCAUCCCGCGUGUCGAGGGUGCAACUCCCUUCUGCCGCU